GACUAGAACAAUUUUUUCCAAAGGAUAUAAACAAUAGUCCUGCAGAAAUGACAAACUACAUUUGUCUACUGAACCAUGUUGGUCUAAUGCCGGGGAGAGGUGAAUGCAGAGGUUGCUAGGACACAUGAAAAGUGUUUUGAUUCAUUUGUCCACAGGAAAAAAAGUAGGAAGAGCGCAGAUACUUG
rnacentral:lncRNA from 12 species